UGAGUAAUCUGCCCUUAACUCUGGGAUAAGCCUGGGAAACUGGGUCUAAUACGGGAUAUGACUCCUCAUCGCAUGGUGGGGGGUGGAAAGCUUUUUGUGGUUUUGGAUGGACUCGUGGCCUAUCAGCUUGUUGGUGAGGUAAUGGCUCACCAAGGCGACGACGGGUANCCGGCCUGAGAGGGUGACCGGCCACACUGGGACUGAGACACGGCCCAGACCUCCGUACGGGAGCAG
rnacentral:rRNA from 1 species